GCGGAGGAAAAGAAACCAACAGGGAUUGCCUCAGUAACGGCGAGUGAAGCGGCAACAGCUCAAAUUUGAAAUCUGGUCCUUUCAGGGCCCGAGUUGUAAUUUGUAGAAGAUGCUUCGAGCGUGGCACCGGUCUAAGUUCCUUGGAACAGGACGUCAUAGAGGGUGAGAAUCCCGUAUGCGACUGGCCGCCUUCGUUCAUGUGAAGCUCUUUCGACGAGUCGAGUUGUUUGGGAAUGCAGCUCAAAAUGGGUGGUAUAUUUCAUCUAAAGCUAAAUAUUGGCCAGAGACCGAUAGCGCACAAGUAGAGUGAUCGAAAGAUGAAAAGCACUUUGGAAAGAGAGUUAAACAGUACGUGAAAUUGUUGAAAGGGAAGCGCUUGCAACCAGACUUGCACGCUGCCGAUCAUCUGGGGUUCUCCCCAGUGCACUCGGUUGCGUUCAGGCCAGCAUCGGUUUGGGUGGUUGGAUAAAGGCCUUGGGAAUGUAGCUUCUUUCGGGGAGUGUUAUAGCCCUCGGUGCAAUGCAGCCUACCCGGACCGAGGACCGCGCUUCGGCUAGGAUGCUGGCGUAAUGGUUGUAAGAGCCCCGUCUUG
rnacentral:rRNA from 1 species